rnacentral:lncRNA from 1 species
CUUGCGGGAGUUGGGGCGGGGCGUGCUCUAUAGUGGGGACUCUUGCUUGAGAGAUACCAGCGAGCACACGCGAACCGUUCGGAAGGAGGCGGAGCAAUAUUUUAAAAAAGGAGAGAGGGCGGGCCAAGCUACCCUUCAGAAAGCGCUCCUCCCGGCCAACAACAGGCCAGUACUGAGCAUGCGUCGUGGCUUGAGCGCAUGCUCAGUCAAAUCCCUGGCUGAAAAAUCCCGAAACUCCUCAGGGAG